rnacentral:rRNA from 1 species
AGCGAACGCUGGCGGCAGGCCUAACACAUGCAAGUCGAACGAACCUUUCGGGGUUAGUGGCGGACGGGUGAGUAACACGUGGGAACGUGCCUUUAGGUUCGGAAUAACUCAGGGAAACUUGUGCUAAUACCGAAUGUGCCCUUCGGGGGAAAGAUUAAUCGCCUUUAGAGCGGCCCGCGUCUGAUUAGCUAGUUGGUUGAGGUAAUGGCUCACCAAGGCGACGAUCAGUAGCUGGUCUGAGAGGAUGAUCAGCCACAUUGGGACUGAGACACGGCCCAAACUCCUACGGGAAGCAGCAGUGGGGAAUCUUGCGCAAUGGGCGAAAGCCUGACGCAGCCAUGCCGCGUGAAUGAUGAAGGUCUUAGGAUUGUAAAAUUCUUUCACCGGGGACGGUAAUGACGGUACCCGGAGAAGAAGCCCCGGCUAACUUCGUG